rnacentral:rRNA from 1 species
GACGAACGCUGGCGGCGUGCUUAACACAUGCAAGUCGAACGGAAAGGCCCUGCUUUUGUGGGUUUCUCGAUUGGCGAACGGGUGAGUAACACGUGAGUAACCUGCCCUUGACUGUGUGAUAACUUCAGGAAACUGGGGCUAAUACCGGAUAGGAGCUCCUGCUGCAUGGUGUGGGUUGGAAAGUUUCGGCGGUUGGGGAUGGACUCGCGGCUUAUGAGCUGGUUGGUGGGGUAGGUGCUGACCAAGGCUUUGACGGGUAGCCGGCCUGAGAGGGUGAACGGCCACAUUGGGACUGCGAUACGGAGCAGAAGGCUAUGGGAGGCAGCAGUGGGGAAUAUUGCAGAGUGGGCGGACGCCUGAUGCAGCAACGCUGCGUGCGGGAUGAUGGCUUUCGGGUUGUAAACCGCUUUCGACUGUGCUGAAGCGUGAGUGACGGUAAUGGGUAAAGAAGCACCGGCUAACUACGUG